GACGAACGCUGGCGGCGUGCCUAACACAUGCAAGUCGAACGGAAAGGCCCUGCUUUUGUGGGGUGCUCGAGUGGCGAACGGGUGAGUAACACGUGAGUAACCUGCCCUUGACUUUGGGAUAACUUCAGGAAACUGGGGCUAAUACCGGAUAGGAGCUCCUGCUGCAUGGUGGGGGUUGGAAAGUUUCGGCGGUUGGGGAUGGACUCGCGGCUUAUCAGCUUGUUGGUGGGGUAGUGGCUUACCAAGGCUUUGACGGGUAGCCGGCCUGAGAGGGUGACCGGCCACAUUGGGACUGAGAUACGGCCCAGACUCCUACGGGAGGCAGCAGUGGGGAAUAUUGCACAAUGGGCGGAAGCCUGAUGCAGCAACGCCGCGUGCGGGAUGACGGCCUUCGGGUUGUUAACCGCUUUCGCCUGUGACGAAGCGUGAGUGACGGUAAUGGGUAAAGAAGCACCGGCUAACUACGUG
rnacentral:rRNA from 1 species